GAUACAGCGGUUCUCGUACGAUCACUGAAGUUAAGCAACGUCGAACCUGGUCAGUACAUAGAUGUGUGACCUUGUGGAAAGUCUAGGGUUUGU